rnacentral:rRNA from 1 species
CAGGACUUGACAUCCUUGGAACCCCGAUGAAAAUCGGGAGUGCCUUCGGGAGCCAAGUGACAGGUGUUGCACGGCCGUCGUCAGCUCGUGCUGUGAAGUGUCCCGUUAAGUCGGUUAACGAGCGCAACCCCUAUUGCAUGUUGAAUCUCUCAUGCGAGACUGCCGGCGUUAAGUCGGAGGAAGGUGGGGAUGACGUCAGGUCAGCGUGACUCUUACGUCCUGGGCUACACACGUGUUACAAUGGGGCGCAACAAAGGGUUGCUAAAUCGCAAGAUGGAGCUAAUCCCGCAAAACCGCCCCCCAGUUCGGAUUGAGGUCUGCAACUCGACCUCAUGAAGCCGGAAUCGCUAGUAACCGUAGGUCAGCCAUACUACGGUGAAUACGUUCU